rnacentral:lncRNA from 1 species
AGCCUGCAGGCCGCCGGCCACCCGGUGCUCCCUGGGCCUCGGGGUCUGCGCCCUGUCCCGCAGCUCCGCCUGGCCCCCUGGGGACCUGGAGUGCCUCUCCACCUCCCAUCGCCCCCCAAGCUCUCGCCCGCUGUCCUGUCUUCUCUGAGCGCCACUGUUCAGCUUUCCCUAGCUUUGACUCUAGACUGGAGCAUCAGAUCUAGUUGUUUCCCGGGGCCCACUGUCUCCCCUCCUCUAGACAACACCAAGCUCCCAAAAUCAGGCUCAUCACUCCCCCGGGAGCAAGGUACAGUAAGUAGGUGUUGGAGGAGUAGGUAAUGGACUCCAUUCUCCUCAUUUAAUAGGGUGUCAGAGACAGCACUGCGCCUCCCUCCCUUCCCCACUCCAACUCCCACAAAUCAAAACAAAAAUCAGCCACUCAGCCUGGCCUCGCUCGGCACAGAGCAUCUAAAAGUAAAAGCCCCAAUCUGGGGUAGAAACGGCUGGCCCUUUCUGCCCGGGCCUAGCUCCUGCAUCUCCAUAACUGCAGGCUAGUCUGCCCUGUGACACUUGAGAACCGUGGGGCCUCCCUCGUGCAGGACACCUCUGCUUCAUUUAGCAGAUUCAAUAAUUCAUUCAACAAAUGUUUAUUGAAUGUGAACUUGUGCAAGGUAGGCCAGUCCCUCUCAGGGUGCCCUAGGCCCACAAGUAGAUGUGAGAGGAUCCUUUGCUGUUCCAGCAGUGCCUGUGCUGUCCCCUGACUGGUCUAGGCCACCACGGUUCCUUCAUCCAGGACCUAGUGAACUGGGCAGACACCUGCAUUCCUGGAGGCCAGGAAGAGGGUGUCAGCCUUGGAGAGGCAACAGAGAGGGCAGUGGAAGGCUCUAGGUGAGCAUGGGGUGGGGUCUCCAGGACCCUUCCCUGGGCCUCCAGGCAGGCUUUCCCCAUUAAUGCUGCUUGUGGGCACUGGGAAAGGCUAGGGUGAGGAGGGGUGGGGAAGGAGAGAGGAAGACAGCCCAAGGUGGGGCGGGACAAGAAGCAAACUGGGGCCAAAGGCGGUGUGUACUUCGCUGUGGCCUCAAGGCUUGGUGGGGAAGAGCAGGCAGGUGAGUUCCCGGCUGCCGCUGUGUCUGUCCACAAGGGGCAGAGGGUG